CUAAAAGCUAAUAAUUUGAACCAAAAGUUUAUAUAAAAGGUUCCAAUAAUCACAUGCAUUGAUGCACCACAAUAAGUUAUAACUUGCCUUGAAGAAUCCCUCCACUUAUCAUCACUUCUUUUUGCUCAAUUACUACAGCCCUUUAAUAAUUAAUCUACCUGUUAAACAAAUAAAAAGUAGUUGGCAGAUUCUUGUAAGCUCCACUAAAACAACCAUAUAAAGCAUGUCAAUUCCGUUCUUCAUUUACAUACAACUAAAACACAUACAAACCUUCUCUGUGAACAAUAUUUCCUCACAUACUUAAAAUAAUUCAAUACUUUAGUAAUGGAGAGUUUGAAGCUUGCCUCAGUUCUUACCAUCGUUUCUAUGGUUCUUGUGGCUUGCUCCAGUGUUGGAUUCACAGCAGCCCUUGAAGAUGUUGGAGCUCCUGCUCCAUCACCAACAAUAGAGAGUUCUAGCAUAACAUUGCUUGUUCCUGCUGCAUUCGUUGCCAUGGCUUCACUAGUUGCCUUUUUGGUCUAAUUAAGCAGUGUAGAACAUAUCAAAUCCGUGUUUUAAUACUAUUUACUCUGUACUCUUUACGCUUUGAUGGUCAUUGAGGACUGAAGUGCUAGAGACUAUUAUCUGAAUCUCAAAGAUGAGUCAUUCAAGGUCAAGUUGUUCUUGUGGGUGAAACAGUAAAAGUAAAAUUAUUUGCACAUGCAACUCAAAUAUAGAGUAAAAGACGUGGCAUUCAUGGCACUAUCAUUCAACUUAGUUUUUGUAGUAAUCUCCUAUACAUAAUUACGGACAGAGGAAGAAAGGAAAACAGGGGAAUCAAACAGAGAACAAAUUUUAAUUAAAUUUAGAAAAUAUUAUGAACACAAAACACGCGAGGGAGGGCAAGCAAACAUACAAAACUCUUUAGUUGGUCAUUGUUGUUACUGCUGAGCCAUCCCCACCAGCAACAUUAUCUGUCUCUGGUUAUCCUAUGUACAAUGCCUGGUUAAUAAGAGCAACUCUGGC
rnacentral:lncRNA from 1 species